rnacentral:rRNA from 1 species
GACGAACGCUGGCGGCGUGCCUAAUACAUGCAAGUUGAGCGAUGAAGCUUGGUGCUUGCACCAAUUUGAAGAGCAGCGAACGGGUGAGUAACGCGUGGGGAAUCUGCCUUUGAGCGGGGGACAACAUUUGGAAACGAAUGCUAAUACCGCAUAACAACUUUAAACAUAAGUUUUAAGUUUGAAAGAUGCAAUUGCAUCACUCAAAGAUGAUCCCGCGUUGUAUUAGCUAGUUGGUGAGGUAAAGGCUCACCAAGGCGAUGAUACAUAGCCGACCUGAGAGGGUGAUCGGACACAUUGGGACUGAGACACGGCCCAAACUCCUACGGGAGGCAGCAGUAGGGAAUAUUCGGCAAUGGACGAAAGUCUGACCGAGCAACGCCGCGUGAGUGAAGAAGGUUUUCGGAUCGUAAAACUCUGUUGGUAGAGAAGAACGUUGGUGAGAGUGGAAAGCUCAUCAAGUGACGGUAACUACCCAGAAAGGGACGGCUAACUACGUG